rnacentral:rRNA from 1 species
GUGGCGGCAGCUGAGGAGACUGAAGCGGUCGCGGUCGCCGAGCUGCAAGGAGAAGCGCUCGGCGGGGAGACGAUUGGGGGCCUCCAUGGUAGGUACGAAGGAGACGGUCGCCCUUCGCUGGUCCGUGAUGAAGCAGCCGAGGAUGGGAGGGCGGAGGCGGUGGCGGAGGAGGAAGCGGCUGACGAAGCCGGGGUCGGAGACGAGGCGGCGCCAGCGGGUGCAGACGGCGGAGGCGCGCGGGAGGGAGGACGGAUCCGGUGGGAGGCGGAGGAGGAUCUCGUCGAGCAGGUCGUCGUCGUCGAGCGGCGGCGCCGACGUCGGGCGGAGGCGGCGGCCGAAGCUGGCCGUCAUCUCGCCCUCCUCAGUUGCUCGUGCGGCGGAUGGGGUGGGUGGGGUGGACUCGAAGGGCAAGGUUGGCCGUACACUGGAGAAGAGAAAACUGAGGCUGCGAGUGAGAUUUGA